UGUAAUAUUGUGACUAAUUAAUUGCCGGAGUAUGUUGUCAACACAAUGCUGGCCCAACAUUGGGCCAAUGUCAACUUAUCACUUUCAUACUGGUACCGAGGUUAGUUGGGAAUACAACAUUGGCCCAACAUUGGGCCAACAUUGUAAGAUUGUGAUGAAAUUCGACUAAAAAAUAGAUUUUGAUAUCUAUAUUUAUGACACACGCACACACAAAUGCGCAUGACUCGCAUGUUUUGAAGAAGAGGAUGAUGAGUUAAUUAAAAUAAGCUACGUAUAUAUAGAAUGUAUAAUUGAUUUGAAAUAUUUAUAAUUUUUGUAAAAUAUAUGCAUACAUAAUUGAUUUCUUUUUUAGAAAACAUAUUAAAAAAUUAACAUACAUUCAAUUAUCAUUUGUGCAGGGAUGAAAAUUAACCUUGCAUAUCAAAAGAAUGAACUCAAAAGAGAAAGGUUAAACACAUGCAAAGAUUACAUAAAUGCUCUAAAGUGUUGGAUUUAGGAAGCAGAUUCUAAGAUAAGAGCACAUUUACUGACCAAGCAAUUAGGACAGAGUUUUUCACAGCUUGAGACUGGCCAGUUUCCAUGGUAAUCUUGAUAUCUGAUAUGUUGGGAUGGUCAAUCCUGUAUCUAUUUUACGCGUCCAGCAUUCUAGCUAAUCUCGGAGUUUUACUGAGGAAUAACGUGAAACAAGGCAACUGAAAAAGGAAAACUUAUUCCGGGGAAUCGUUUUUAUUGUGAAUUCAGAUUAAAGUAAUACGUCCUGGCAUACGUAUACAGAAAUGAGCUGCUCGAGCAAACCGAUUAUGUGCAGACGCAACACACAAUGAGAUAAACAAUGUUAUCAAAGAGUGGUUCCGGUACGCAUGUGACCGUGAAGGAGGUCGAAAAGAAAGAGAGGAAAGGAAAAAGAGAGAAACCAAAGCUCCCAGAAUGCAACAGAGGACAGUGAUUCAUAAUUGUGGAAGAAUUAAAGUGUAUGCACAUGUAUCAGACAAAGAGACAAAGUUAACUUGUUUACACUGGAAUGCAUUUAUUGUUUUAAUCAUAUUUUCAUUUGACCAGUUGUUAACACAAAUUAAAUUCAUUAGAUGUC